rnacentral:rRNA from 1 species
CACGUAGGGUGCGAGCGUUGUCCGGAAUUAUUGGGCGUAACGAGCUCGUAGGCGGUGUGUCGCGUCGGCCGUGAAAACCUGCAGCUUAACUGUGGGCGUGCGGUCGAUACGGGCAUCACUGGAGUUCGGCAGGGGAGACUGGAAUUCCUGGCGUAGCGGUGAAAUGCGCAGAUAUCAGGAGGAACACCGGUGGCGAAGGCGGGUCUCUGGGCCGAUACUGACGCUGAGGAGCGAAAGCGUGGGGAGCAAACAGG